UAAAUAUCACAAGACGGCAGGAAAA
rnacentral:rRNA from 1 species